UUCUAGGAGGCAGCAGGCGCGCAAAUUACCCAAUCCCGACACGGGGAGGUAGUGACAAUAAAUAACAAUACAGGCGCUCGAUAAGAGUCUUGUAAUUGGAAUGAGUACAAUUUAAACCCCUUAACGAGUAACAAUUGGAGGGCAAGUCUGGUGCCAGCAGCCGCGGUAAUUCCAGCUCCAAUAGCGUAUAUUAAAGUUGUUGCAGUUAAAAAGCUCGUAGUUGGAUCUAGGGACGCGCAUUUCAAGCGCCCGUGUCGUCGGGUCAAACCGGCGACUGCGUUGGCGUUGCGGGCUCGGUCCGUCGGUGCCACUAAAAGCACUGGCGUGUCAACCGGCCCGCCCGUCCCCUCCUUCUGGAUUCCCGUUCCUGCUAUUGAGUUAGGGGGGACGUCACAGGGGGCUCAUCGUCGUCAUGCAAAUGGCGGCGGGGGGUCCCUGGGGCCCAAAUCGUUUACCGUGAAAAAAUUAAAGUGUUCAAAGCAGGCAAAUCCAAUUCUCUGCCACCGAAUACAUUAGCAUGGGAUAAUGGAAUAGGACCCUGUCCUCCUAUUUUCAGUUGGUUUUGGCAGCGCGAGGACUAGGGUAAUGAUUAAUAGGGAUAGUUGGGGGCAUUA
rnacentral:rRNA from 1 species